rnacentral:lncRNA from 1 species
UUUGGAGCCACGUUCCUCUGCGCGGAACGUGGAGCGAGGAGUUGCCAUUCGAAUUUCCUACGCGGCCUCCGUGCGAUUGGCUGGUUCGCGGAUGGCGGGACGACACGAUUGGCUAGUCGCUCACAAGCCCCGUGCCCUGGUUGGCCCAAGACAGCGCGGAAGCGGGGAGUUAAAGAGUCUAUGCCUGUCGUGGAAGCUGGCCUGGCCCCCGGAGCUCCCUGGAGUCGGUACUGGGGGCUUCGUUUUGUACGCACCGUUUUCUCUCUGUGCUAUGGGAGAUGUCAAGGAAUCAAAGAUGCAAAUAACACCAGAAACUCCAGGAAGGAUCCCUGUUUUAAAUCCUUUUGAAAGUCCUAGUGAUUAUUCUAAUCUCCAUGAACAAACUCUCGCCAGUCCUUCUGUUUUUAAAUCAACAAAAUUACCAGCACUAACAUAAAUAGUGACUCUCCAGUUGGAAAAAAGCUGACCAUUCAUUCUGAGAAAAGCGAUGCUGCUUGUCAGACAUUGCUGUCUCUUCCUGUGGAUUUUAAUUU